GGGGUAAGCUGUAGCAAAAGAAAGCUUCUAACUUUUUAUUUAAGCGGUUAAAGUCCGUUUUUACCCCU
rnacentral:tRNA from 1 species